GCGGUAAGGCCCUUCGGGGUACACGAGCGGCGAACGGGUGAGUAACACGUGGGUGAUCUGCCUUGCACUCUGGGAUAAGCCUGGGAAACUGGGUCUAAUACCGGAUAUGACCUGCCUCUGCAUGGGGGUUGGUGGAAAGAUUUAUCGGUGCGAGAUGGGCCCGCGGCCUAUCAGCUUGUUGGUGGGGUAAUGGCCUACCAAGGCGACGACGGGUAGCCGGCCUGAGAGGGCGACCGGCCACACUGGGACUGAGACACGGCCCAGACUCCUACGGGAGGCAGCAGUGGGGAAUAUUGCACAAUGGGCGGAAGCCUGAUGCAGCGACGCCGCGUGAGGGAUGACGGCCUUCGGGUUGUAAACCUCUUUCGACAGGGACGAAGCGCAAGUGACGGUACCUGUAGAAGAAGCACCGGCCAACUACGUGCCAGCAGCCGCGGUAAUACGUAGGGUGCGAGCGUUGUCCGGAAUUACUGGGCGUAAAGAGCUUGUAGGCGGUUCGUCGCGUCGAUUGUGAAAACUUGCAGCUCAACUGCAAGCUUGCAGUCGAUACGGGCGGACUAGAGUACUUCAGGGGAGACUGGAAUUCCUGGUGUAGCGGUGAAAUGCGCAGAUAUCAGGAGGAACACCGGUGGCGAAGGCGGGUCUCUGGGAAGUAACUGACGCUGAGAAGCGAAAGCGUGGGUAGCGAACAGGAUUAGAUACCCUGGUAGUCCACGCCGUAAAC
rnacentral:rRNA from 1 species